rnacentral:rRNA from 1 species
CCAAGGAGUCUAACAUGUGCGCGAGUCGUGGAGUGUUACGAAACUUGCAGGCGCAAUGAAAGUGAAGGCACGUCGUGGGACGCGCCUCGGUAGGAUCCCUCCUCGAGGGGGCGCACUACCGGCCCGUCUCGAUCUCAUUGUAGAUGAGGCGGAGCGAGAGCGUACACGUUGGGACCCGAAAGAUGGUGAACUAUGCCUGAGUAGGACGAAGCCAGAGGAAACUCUGGUGGAAGUCCGUAGCGAUUCUGACGUGCAAAUCGAUCGUCGAACUUUGGUAUAAGGGCGAAAGACUAAUCGAACCAUCUAGUAG